rnacentral:rRNA from 1 species
GACGAACGCUGGCGGCGUGCCUAAUACAUGCAAGUCGAGCGGACUUGAUGAAGUGCUUGCACUUCUGAUGGUUAGCGGCGGACGGGUGAGUAACACGUAGGUCACCUGCCUAUAAGACUGGGAUAACAUUCGGAAACGAAUGCUAAUACCGGAUACGCGAAUUGGUCGCAUGGCCGAAUCGGGAAAGACGGAGCAAUCUGUCACUUAUAGAUGGACCUGCGGCGCAUUAGCUAGUUGGUGAGGUAACGGCUCACCAAGGCGACGAUGCGUAGCCGACCUGAGAGGGUGAUCGGCCACACUGGGACUGAGACACGGCCCAGACUCCUACGGGAGGCAGCAGUAGGGAAUCUUCCGCAAUGGACGAAAGCCUGACGGAGCAACGCCGCGUGAGUGAUGAAGGUUUUCGGAUCGUAAAGCUCUGUUGCCAGGGAAGAACGCUUGGGAGAGUAACUGCUCUCAAGGUGACGGUACCUGAGAAGAAAGCCCCGGCUAACUACGUGCCAGCAGCCGCCGUAA